rnacentral:rRNA from 1 species
AGCAGCCGCGGUAAUUCCAGCUCCAAUAGCGUAUAUUAAAGUUGUUGCAGUUAAAAAGCUCGUAGUUGAACUUCGGGGUUUACCCAUUGGUCAGGCUUAAUUGUCUGUACUGGUGAGAUAAAUCUCUACCUUCUGAGGAACUUUUCAUGCCAUUUAUUUGGUGUGAUUGGAAAUCAGGACUAUUACUUUGAAAAAAUUAGAGUGUUUAAAGCAGGCUAACGUCUGAAUAUAUUAGCAUGGAAUAAUGAAAUAGGACGGCUUGGUUCUAUUUCGUUGGUUUCUAGGAUCACCGUAAUGAUUAAUAGGGAUAGUUGGGGGCAUUAGUAUUCAAUUGUCAGAGGUGAAAUUUCUUGGAUUUAUUGAAGACUUAACUACUGCGAAAGCAUUUGCCAAGGAUGUUUUCAUUAAUCAAGAACGAAAGUUAGGGAUACGAAGACGAUCAGAUACCGUCGUAGUCUUAACCAUAAACUAUGCCGACUAGGGAUCGGACGAAG